rnacentral:rRNA from 1 species
GACACAGGGAGGUAGUGACAAGAAAUAACAAUACGGGGCUUUAAGUCUUGUAAUUGGAAUGAUGGGAAUUUAAACCUCUUCCAGAGUAUCAAUUGGAGGGCAAGUCUGGUGCCAGCAGCCGCGGUAAUUCCAGCUCCAAUAGCGUAUAUUAAACUUGUUGCAGUUAAAAAGCUCGUAGUUGAAUUUCUGCUGUAUCGUUUUCCUCUGCUUGACAGUUGGAUUUCGUUAUGGCUUAGUUGGGUUACAGUUUCUGUUACCUGACGUUUACUUUGAGAAAAUUAGAGUGCUUCAAGCAGGCUUUUGCCUUGAAUACUUUAGCAUGGAAUAAUGGAGUAGGACUUUGGUUCUAUUUUGUUGGUUUUAGGAGCCAGAGUAAUGGUUAAUAGGAACAGUUGGGGGCAUUCGUAUUUGACUGUCAGAGGUGAAAUUCUUAG